CUACCCUUGACAUGCCACUAACGAAGCAGCGAUGCAUUAGGUGCCCGAAAGGGAAAGUGGACACAGGUGCUGCAUGGCUGUCGUCAGCUCGUGUCGUGAGAUGUUGGGUUAAGUCCCGCAACGAGCGCAACCCUUGUCUCUAGUUGCUACGAAAGGGCACUCUAGAGAGACUGCCGGUGACAAACCGGAGGAAGGUGGGGAUGACGUCAAGUCCUCAUGGCCCUUAUGGGUAGGGCUUCACACGUCAUACAAUGGUGCGUACAGAGGGUUGCCAACCCGCGAGGGGGAGCUAAUCCCAGAAAACGCAUCGUAGUCCGGAUCGUAGUCUGCAACUCGACUACGUGAAGCUGGAAUCGCUAGUAAUCGCGGAUCAGCAUGCCGCGGUGAAUACGUUCCC
rnacentral:rRNA from 1 species